rnacentral:rRNA from 1 species
UUAAUGAGAGUUUGAUCCUGGCUCAGGACGAACGCUGGCGGCGUGCCUAAUACAUGCAAGUAGAACGCUGAGGUUUGGUGUUUACACUAGACUGAUGAGUUGCGAACGGGUGAGUAACGCGUAGGUAACCUGCCUCAUAGCGGGGGAUAACUAUUGGAAACGAUAGCUAAUACCGCAUAAGAGUAAUUAACACAUGUUAGUUAUUUAAAAGGAGCAAUUGCUUCACUGUGAGAUGGACCUGCGUUGUAUUAGCUAGUUGGUGAGGUAAAGGCUCACCAAGGCGACGAUACAUAGCCGACCUGAGAGGGUGAUCGGCCACACUGGGACUGAGACACGGCCCAGACUCCUACGGGAGGCAGCAGUAGGGAAUCUUCGGCAAUGGACGGAAGUCUGACCGAGCAACGCCGCGUGAGUGAAGAAGGUUUUCGGAUCGUAAAGCUCUGUUGUUAGAGAAGAACGUUGGUAGGAGUGGAAAAUCUACCAAGUGACGG